ensembl:lncRNA
AAAAAAAAAAAGGAAACGAGGGCAUUACCCUUCUGAUCUGUCUCCAUAAUUGCCAGCUGCUUAGAUUUAAAUGAGGUAUUUAUAAAUUUGUGCAAUGCUGCUCUUUGCAGCUUCUGCCUGAAAGAUUUAUGGGGAGGUUGUGCUGCUGCAGGGUCACCUCAGCUGAGGCUGCUCCUAUGUUAGUGGUAAGCAUAUUUUCCAAGUUUUGCUGAAAACCAGCUCUCAGGAAGCAGUUGCACAGGAGAUGUAAAAUUGUGCCCCUGCUGGAAGGAAUCUGUUGGUCAACAAACUUGGUUCAGGAUGAAACUCGAUGGCUGUGGGCCCACUAACAUCAUCCUUACACAGUGUGAAGAGUUCACCAAAAUAAAGCCGAAAGAAUGGAAUCCUCCUCCAUCCCCUCAGCUCAGAAGUGAUGGAUUCCUUCAGCUUUGUACACUCUCCGAUGAUAUUGAAGUGUCUGUGACUUCAUGGCCACCACAGAGCCAAGCUGAGGUGGCCUUGGAGGAAGACUGACUGUUACAGAGGUUGCCUGGAUGGGCUCUAUAGGUGGAACAACCUGAACAACAGAAACACAGGACAUUCUUAUAAGAUGAAAGCAUCCCUCUUAUAGAUCCAGGACCGGACAGGCUGUCUGCUCCGCACAGUAACAAAGACUUGAAACCGUAUUGGCGCGAUGCCUGAUACAACACUAAAUGCUUCCCUGUGGCUUUCUACUCCCAGGGAGAAAGAGCAAAGAAAUCAGCAGGGAGACCAGUGGAAGUCAUGGUUUGACAACAUCAAAGAGCAGCUUGGACCCUAUCCUUAUAAAGAGAAAAAGGUUGCCAGGAUCCCAUGAGUUGGCUGACUAAUAAGCGAAGUGCUGCCAAUGCUCCAAUUCAGAUUGGCUUGGGCUGACCCAGUGAGUGAUGGCCAUUGCCGAUGGAAGAAGUUAGCAGAAAAAGCAGGGAGAUAAAGAAAAAUAACCAAGCAAAUACAGGAAUUGUGAACUCAUGGAGCACAGGGGGAGUCGCCUCUUGAAUCAGAAACGUCUGUGUUAGUAGUAAGGUCAACAGUGACUUCUGAGAAGGCAUUUGCAGCAUUCGUUACCGCUUCCGUCCUCUGACAGAGACGCAUUGGUGUGUGGUGCUAUUUGUCUUGUCCACACUGAUCAGAAUAAUGGACAACGUGGCGGGGGGAAGGAGGAAAAUACAUCAUUUAAAAAACCAGGAUGGCCAGAUGUACAUGUACACUGGGAUUUCACAUAUUGCACGUGGGUCAGCCCCUUCCAGUUAUUAUAAAUGACCUUGUGCUCCUUUAUGAAGACCAGAUCCCCAGUGAGGUCUGAGUGACUGGAUUCGCUCGUUUGCGCAACAAAAAGCAGUUACAGCACGAGGCAGUCCAAGUCACACUGCUUGCAGACAAGGGACAGGCAGCUGCCUUCGGGCAAGAAGAAGCUGUGUGACCAUUUACUGGCUGAAGGACUGCCCAGGGAGUGUGGAAAAUGUUUCCUAGUUCUCCUAAGGUGGAAAAAUCCAUAAAGUCAGCCUAAAUGAAUUGGAUGAAAGGAGCUAUAGUCUUGAAGAUCUGCUUAAAUGAGAUAUUCUGGGGAACGUGGUGAGCAGGGUGGCUCCCAGUUUGCUGUAAAAUCAUUUCUCCUUCCUCACUAUGCCCGCAUGCUCUGUCCCUGUAGCUCCUGAAUUUUAUCUCCCACUGAACGCCACUGCAAGACCUGGUUUUCCCCAGAAGGGUUUCCAGUGAAGCAUUGAAGCCAACAUCUGAGGAAGAGGAAUGAUUUUUGUGGAGGCAUUGUGGUCACAAACACACAUGCCUCUGCCACCUGGGUCUUGUCUUAGCUUGACCAUGGGGUGACCAAGAUGACAGGGACAGAGAUCUGCUCCCAGCCUCACUAUAUUUUAGAAAAGUCACUUCCCUGUAUUUCCCUAUCUCUGAUUUUUGCCUUAUCUGUUUAAACUGUCAGCUGCUCAGGGGGGUUUUGUAAAGCACCUAUUGCAAUAGGGCCCCGAUCUCUCCCGAGGCCUCUGAACACCAUGGUAAUAUAAAUAAUAAGAAAGCAUUUAUCAAAGCAUACAAAGGGAACUCUCUGUGCUUUGAUUUAAAGCAUGUAAAAUGAGUCUUGGAAAACAUUCCUCCAAAGGAGCAGAGGAUUAAUUAACACUUGUCCAGCCCGUUGCGACCACAGGCAGUGCUGGGAGUCCUCUGCACCGCUGACUUACCUCCAGAAAGAGCUUUCGUCGAGGCGGGACACGGACAGGCACCAGAAAUUACAGGACCUCUCCUUGCUUUAACUGGGUUUGCUUUUCCACACAAAGAAAAGAACACAAAAGACCCGAGGGAAAUAGAAGGGACACAAAAUUAUGUCGUAUUUACAGAGGUUGGGAAGGAGUAGUUUAGACCCUUGAGGCUUAGAGUGCUUAUUGCUAAGCUUCGAUGCCUUGCUGCACAUUUGAUUAACAGCCCCCCUGGAAAAAAAGCAAUCCACGACCGCCCUCCUGGCCCGAGGUGCUGCCCGCAGAGCAUCCGGCUGCUCGGCCGCGGGUCCUGGGGGAGCUGCGCUGUGACGCCGAGCGGCAACUGUGGGGACGUGGGGAGACCUCGCAGCUGCAGAGAGCCCAGUUCCCAAACGCCGCCUGGUCAGAGUUCAUCAGUCUUCCUCGCUGAAAGACUCGAGAGUUGGAGUUUAUCAUCUCAGCUGGUUCAAAUUGCAGAGCACGAGAAGGGAGAAUGGUUUUCCAGCUUUUAAGCCAGGAUAAUUUGUUUGCUUUAUUAUUUUUUUUAUUGUAAAAAUGGUUUAAAUCCAUCAAGUCACUCUUCAGAGUUACAGAGUUGCAAUAAAUCCUAAUCUGUUUGGACUCA